rnacentral:rRNA from 1 species
AUACGAAAGGUGCAAGCGUUGUUCGGAAUUACUGGGCGUAAAGCGUGCGUAGGCGGUUUGUUAAGUCUGUCGUGAAAGCCCCGGGCUCAACCUGGGAAUGGCGAUGGAUACUGGCAAGCUAGAGUGUGUCAGAGGAUGGUGGAAUUCCCGGUGUAGCGGUGAAAUGCGUAGAGAUCGGGAGGAACACCAGUGGCGAAGGCGGCCAUCUGGGACAACACUGACGCUGAGGCACGAAAGCGUGGGGAGC